rnacentral:lncRNA from 1 species
CUUAGUUAUUGUAAAAGAGAACCUCCCGCAUUAAGCCUUGAAUUGUUGUUCUGUACAUAAAAGUAUUUUUGUGGAAACCUUCGUCCAUCAGAAACCCCUGAGAUGUGUCCAAUCAAGAGAAUCGCAUGAUGAAUGACCUCAGCACACACUCCCCAUCAAUCUUCGCACACACACAAUUGCCUGUCUGACUCCCCCGAACCGGGCGGGCCCCGGUUGAUAUUUGGCUUGGGAUAUUCUUUGAUAUUUGGCGACUCUCGUCUCGUGAGUUUUUGUUUCCCUUUCGCUUGCGUGCUUAGAGCAUCUCAAAGUCUAACAUUUCUUUUUUCGGCUUGGCCUGGGCAGGCAGCACACGAAAAAUCUUGGUG